AUGGCAACUUGGGGCAAAGUUGACAAUGGCUGGCAAGGUGCUUUUGAAAUCCAGGUAAUUGAAGAGCUUCACAAGGUUUGGAAGGGACAAGAAUCUGGUCAUGUGGCUGGACCCAAGGGGAGUUUGAACUUGUCCAGUUCCAGGAUAAACUUGAACUUUGGCCUCCAUCCCUCGUGUUUUCUUCCUAAACUCGUUCUAUCUCAGAACCCUUUUGGACAAAGUCUCCUUCAGACCAUUUUCCCCAUUGAAAGCCUGUGUUGCAUCUUCAUUGUUGUUGUUAGUGCCAUUGAGUCAAUUCCAACUUCUAGUGACCCUGCGGACAGCAGAGUGGAACCCUGCCUGAUCUUUUUCUGCCAUCCUUUCACCGUCUGGUCCUCUAUCAGAAUACACCACAAGGACCAUUUGACUGUCCCCUCUGGCUUCUGCAUCUUGCUUCCAGCAUGAACAGACAGGCCCACACGACCGGGAAGACAGACUGGAGUGCUCCCCACUGUUCAAAGCCAUAAGCCAGAAAGAACAAAGAACCUACUAUGUGCAAGGGCUCUGUCUUCCUCUCACCUGACCACCAUGCCACUCUUUGUUUUAACUCAUCCAUUUCUACCAGUUAACUCAUCUUGCUACCAAUUUCUGUAUUAUCGGCACUCUAAUUGAAAGUAAUAAAACCUACCAAAAAUAUCUUAAAUAAAAAGUG
rnacentral:lncRNA from 1 species